ACAGAGCGGAGUCAACGGACAUCGAUCUUCCUUCCUCCCCAGCAAGAAAACCUGAGGUAGCCGCUGGCCCUACGAGAAUCUCUUUGAUUAGUCCACCCCAAGAUGAACACAUGGGCAACGUCUCCCACUGGGGCCCUCAGCAUCUCAGCCUGACACCAAGUCGGACGAGCGUGUCCAAGGCUCUCAGGAUUCCACCACUGUACCUCCCCUACAAGGGACCGUCAGAGACUCGGACAUCCCAGCUAGCAGGCAAAGCGGGCAGGGGGAGCUCUCCCUGCCCCGGAAGCUCCCAGGCCGAGCCGCCCUCCCAGGCCCUAGCACCCAGGCAGCCGAUCAGCAUCCCGGGCCUGCUGCAGAGGCAGUGUUCAGGGAAGUGUCCCACCAACUCUGAAAAGUAAAACCUUCCCUUGGAAAAGUGCAUGUAUAAGAGAAAAUGUUUAAAUGAACGUGUGACACGAGCAGACACAGAACUUUAAAUAUUCUUGAGAAUUGUGUUUCAGAGCUUUUCAUUAGUAGUUCAGAAAUUCAGUCAUGUUCACUUUUGUAUUCAGUGUGGACUUUUAAAUUAUGACUUAAAUACGUUAAUGAUACUCUAAAAGCACUGAUGUAACUCCUGUAUUUUGAAACAUACAUGUUAAAAUGAUGAACUCUUUCCCCCAACUAACUUUUCUUAUUUGACAUUGUGUGCUCGUUUUCUUCAGCACUGU